rnacentral:lncRNA from 1 species
GACAGCGUCUCCCUUCAAGGAGUCUAAUCUGACAAGGAGGAGAGCACAGAAAGACCCUCAGGGUCCCAGCUGGGCUUCUUAUCUCCUGCAUGAUCCUGGAGGAGACAUUUAGCUCCCUGCCAGAGGUGAUGAAGAGAAACCAGGAUGUUUGGGUUUCACCUCCUGACUGGAAAGAGCCAGGCAAGGUAAUCAGCAGCCACCAUUGCAUCUGAAGCUCUCAUAAGUCUGGGGUAGAGUGGUGGGGAGGGACAGGCAAGCUGGGCUGCACAGCUCUGGGUGGGGCCUCCAGAAAUGAGGCCCCUGAGGUUUGGUCUCAGCUCUGCCAUUCAUCUCUCCAUUCUUGAAAUAACAGGUUCCCGGUUUCCAAAUUCAUGCACAACUGGUCCAGGAACCAAUGACAACUCGUGAAUUGUCAGGAUGUAUUUCACAGUGAAAACCCCUCCCUAAGAUCUCUGUCCCGUCUAUCCAUCAUGGCCCCAUCACCAGGGUCCAGGCCACCUGGCCCCUCACCUGGAUCUCCCACAACAGCGUAGGGCCUGGCACCUGGUAGGGGGUCCACAGAUAUUUGUUGAAUGAAUGAAUGAGCCCCAUCUGCUGGUCUCCCUGCCUCUAAUACUGACUCCCUUUCUACCUGGCCAUUACUGUAGCCAGCAACCUAAACUCAAACCUGACCCAUUUCUUUUCUGUUUUAAACUCCUCAGGGGCUCCCCAUUGCUCUUCCACCCCCUCCCCCCCGCCCCACCUCUCUCUUCAGCCUCCUCUCCUUUCCCACCUCUCUGGGCUCCAGCCACUUUGCCGUUGCUGUUUCCUCUGCCCUGAUGCCCUUCCUCUCUCUCUCCUGGGUAAGUCCUGAGACCUAGUGGGAUUAGAUAUGGAUAUCACCUUCUCUGGGAAGACUUCCACAAUUACCUGUAGCCCUCCCGGAUUCUGGGCCAGGUGCUCCUCCUCUGUGUUCCAGAGCCCCUUCCUCAGUAAGCUGCCUCUCUCCCACCGAGCUGUUCUGAUGUUGUUCCAGCUCCCUGCCUCCUGGUCUUAUGCCUCCUCCCCUGACUGGGAGCCGCUAAAGGGCACAGGGAGUAGCUUGUCCACCUUCAGAUUCCUGGGAGCCCAGUGUGGAGAGGGGCCCAGCUUUUCCAUGUUUACUAAAUGGAGGGUAAAUGAACUAGAGGCCUGGCCCCUCCUACUGGUAAUUCAGUCCCUCUCUUCCUGGGGCAGAGGCCAAAUCAGGGGGCAAGGCUUGUUCCAGAAGGGCGAGUCCCCACAAGGCCAGGUGGAUGAUCUUGAGGGCCCUUGUGGCAGGCUGAGUUGGCCUGGUGAGUCACCUUAUCUUGUGCCAAGUCACUUGAAUCUGCAGGGCAGUACUGGAAUAAAGCACACCUUAUUUCUCCCCACCCCAGGGAGCACUGUCAUUGGCACCCCCUUUUCCACUUGCCCCAUCUCCCCAUCUUCACCUCUUACUGUUCCCAGGUGAUUCCGGGAGCUGGGCCUCCCAACCCAGCAGCUCCCCAGUCCCCACGGUUCCCUCAGGAUUACCUCUGCUCCCAGCAACCCUGCACACCGGGCCCAGCCUCUCAGUUCAUAAAGCCCUUUCACACCCAUUCCUGGGUGGGAUUACGCAACAGCAGGGAGCCAGGUGCAAUAUUUUACAGGCCUCAAUUUAAGGGCCUUUUCCAAAUGAGGUAAUAAAUGUUUUGGUUUGAUUUUCCAGGAAAACAAGGCCUAAGGCUAGAACUGGGAGAUGGUCAGAAGAAGUAGCAGAAAGGGAUGUAGAGGUAAACAUGGGGAAAGAGGAAAAGGUCAUACAUGUUCAUUUUAGAGCUGUUUCAACUGUGGGCAACUGGGGCUUAAUCCCACUAGACCUCCCCUGAAAAACCUGUAGAAUACACCUCAGAUUUGUCCAUCUGAAGGACAGGGACCAUUUAUCCACCAAUUCCACCCUUGUUGGUUAAGGAUGGCCCCAGGGAAAUUCAUCCCCACCCUCCUUUCAUACAUGUGGAUGCAACAGGCGGUAUUAUCAAAAGAUGACUGCGACAAUAUCUCCCCACUCACAUUCUCAUCUGCAAAAUGAACUGGCCACUCCCCAACAGGAAGCAGAGUCUAUUCCCUUUGAAUGUGGGCUGCCCCCAGGACUGUUUUAGUCAAUGGAAUAUGGCAGUGAUUCCUGUGAUUUCUGAACCCGUGUGUGUGUGUGUGGGUGUGUGUGUGUGUUUUGUUUUUUUGUUUGUUUUUUGCCCAGGCUGGAGUGCCCAGGCUGUUGUGCAAUGGCACGAUCUCGGCUCACUGCAAGCUCCGCCUCCCGGGUUCACACCAUUCUGCCUCAGCCUCCCGAGUAGCUGGGACUACAGGCACCCACCACCAUGCCCAGCUAAUUUUUGUAUUUUUAGUAGAGACGGGGUUUCACCAUGUUAGCCAGGAUGCUCUUGAUCUCCUGACCUCAUGACCUCAUGAUCCACCCACCUUGGCCUCCCAAAGUAUUGGGAUUACAGGUGUGAGCCACUGCACCUGGCCGAACCCACAUGUUAAGGCCUGGCAGCUUCCACUUUGGUGCUCUGGCGGAAGCCAGCUGCAAUGUAAGAAAUCCAAGUACCUUGAGACCCACACUGUGAAGAAGCCCAAACUCGCCCAUGGAGAUGGCACAUGGAGAGAGAAUUGGCCCCACUGAGAUUCCAUCUUGAACACUGCAGGCCCAGCUGAUGCCAUACAGAGUGGAGCCCAGCCAGCCCGCAGAUUGCAGAAUCAUGAGCAAAAUAAAUGAUUGUUUUC